AACGCGAAGAACCUUACCUGGGCUCGAAAUGUAGUGGACCGGGGUAGAAAUAUCCCUUCCUAGCAAUAGGCUGCUAUAUAGGUGCUGCAUGGCUGUCGUCAGCUCGUGUCGUGAGAUGUUGGGUUAAGUCCCGCAACGAGCGCAACCCUUAUUACCAGUUGCCAUCAUUUAGUUGGGCACUCUGGUGAGACCGCCUCGGAUAACGGGGAGGAAGGUGGGGAUGACGUCAAGUCCUCAUGGCCUUUAUGUCCAGGGCUACACACGUGCUACAAUGGCCGGUACAAACCGUCGCAAACCCGUGAGGGGGAGCUAAUCGGAGAAAGCCGGCCUCAGUUCGGAUUGGAGUCUGCAACUCGACUCCAUGAAGCUGGAAUCGCUAGUAAUCGCAGAUCAGAACGCUGCGGUGAAUACGUUCCCGGGCCUUGUACACACCGGCUAC
rnacentral:rRNA from 1 species